UACGAAGGGGGCUAGCGUUGCUCGGAAUCACUGGGCGUAAAGGGUGCGUAGGCGGGUCUUUAAGUCAGAGGUGAAAGCCUGGAGCUCAACUCCAGAACUGCCUUUGAUACUGAGGAUCUCGAGUUCGGGAGAGGUGAGUGGAACUGCGAGUGUAGAGGUGAAAUUCGUAGAUAUUCGCAAGAACACCAGUGGCGAAGGCGGCGAUCUGGACAGAUAUUGACGCUGAGGUGCGAAAGCGUGGGGAGCAAACAGG
rnacentral:rRNA from 1 species